rnacentral:lncRNA from 1 species
UUUGAUCAUUUUCUACUCCAUGAGAAUGCAUGCUUUGUAAAGCUGGGGGCUUGGUUCACUGGUUCCUUGCUGUUGCUCCAGAGCCUAGAACAGGGUCUAGCUUAUAGUAGACUUUCAUUAAAUAUUAAGCAAAUUGAGUGUUGAAUGAGGAAAGAAAGAGGUAAACAGAGAAGAGUAGGGGGCACCAGGCUAAGCCUUUGUAAUCCCACAUUUAGAAAUUCGGUAGAGAAGGAGAGGUCUGUGUGUCGGAGGAAAGCAGCAGCAGCCAGUGAGGUAGGGGAAAGAGCAGGUGUGUGUGUGUGUGUAGUCAUGGACGCCAAGACAGGAAGUUGUUCUCAGUAGAAGGAGGUGUCCAAGCAACGUAAGUCCUGCCGGGAGGUCAAGAGACACGAGAACAGAGACACAUACGCAUCUAUUGGCAUUGGCAAGAUGAAGAGCGGUGGUAACCUUGACAAGAGCAGUUCAAGGACAGUAACGAUGACAGGAGGAGAAUGCAUUGACGUGGAUGGAAGCCCGUGGGGUGACAGUAACUCAAAAACGUUUCACACCAGGAUGCAGCGCUGCAGGUGGGGAGCCGAUAGACUCCAAAGGCAAGGAAACCACGAGGGGAGGGGAAGUCUGGGUGCCUGGCUAGAUUGCUUUAUGUUCUGCACACAUGGUAAGUAUUGCACUGCACCCCCCAAAAAUGUACAAGUAUGACAGCUUCAUCAAAAAUUUUAAAUAAUGAAACAAUUUGUAAAAAACAAAAAGAAUCCUUAGCAUCUAAGAUUGAUUGUAGUCUCUCCCCUGUCCAUCUCCUCUGAUCUUUUCUUCUUUUAUCAUUUUUGUCAUUUAAAAGUGUUGAUUGACAUGCAAUACUCACACAUGGACAAAUUAUUUUUUUAAAUCAUUACUUGGGGCCAGUGCUGUGGUAUAGCAGGUAAAGCUGCUGCCAUCCCAUAUGGGUACCAGUUCAAAUCCCAACUUCUCCUCUUCCGAUCCAGCUCUCUGCUGUGGCCUGGGAAAGCAGUAGAAGAUGGCCCAAAUCUUUGAGCCCCUGCAUCCACCUGGGAUACCUAGAAGAAGCUCCUGGCUCCUGGCUUCGGAUUGGCCAGGCUCCGGCCAUUAUGGCCAUUUGGCGAGUGAACCAGUGGAUAGAAGAAUUCUCUCUCUUUCUCUCUGCCUCUGCCUCUCAAAUGAAUAAAUAAAUCUUUUUAAAAAAUUGUUACUUAUUA